rnacentral:rRNA from 1 species
UACAGAGGUCUCAAGCGUUGUUCGGAUUCAUUGGGCGUAAAGGGUGUGUAGGUGGCGCCGUAAGUCGGGGUGUGAAAUUUCGGAGCUUAACUCCGAAACUGCAUUCGAUACUGCCGUGCUUGAGGACUGGAGAGGAGACUGGAAUUUACGGUGUAGCGGUGAAAUGCGUAGAUAUCGUAAGGAAGACCAGUGGCGAAGGCGGGUCUCUGGACAGUUCCUGACGCUGAGGCACGAAGGCCCAGGGGGAGCAAAACGGGG